UACAGAGGUCUCAAGCGUUGUUCGGAUUCAUUGGGCGUAAAGGGUGCGUAGGCGGCGCGGUAAGUCGGGUGUGAAAUUUCGGAGCUUAACUCCGAAACUGCAUUCGAUACUGCCGUGCUUGAGGACUGGAGAGGAGACUGGAAUUUACGGUGUAGCAGUGAAAUGCGUAGAGAUCGUAAGGAAGACCAGUGGCGAAGGCGGGUCUCUGGACAGUUCCUGGACACUGAGGCACGAAGGCCAGGGGAGCAAACGGG
rnacentral:rRNA from 1 species